rnacentral:lncRNA from 1 species
GGUGUUGGUUCUUCUACCUGUUGAACUUCAUCAAGUUCAACCUUAGAGGCAACGGUUCCUUCACCAAGGAACUCUUUUUCUAAAAAGGUUGCCUUAAGGCUGACGAACACCUUUUGUUCAUCAGCAUGGUAGAAAAAAUAUCCUUUGAUCUCUUUAGGGUAUCCUAUGAAUGUAUAUUUGUUAGACCUAGGUCCAAGUUUAUCUGUAACUAACCAUUUGACAUAGGCCGGGCACCCCC